AGCAGCCGCGGUAAUUCCAGCUCCAAUAGCGUAUAUUAAAGUUGUUGCAGUUAAAAAGCUCGUAGUUGAAUUUCGGAAUCGACGGAUUGGUCGCGCCUUCGGUGUGUACUGGUCUUGCCGGUUUCUCCCUUCUGACGAACCACGAUGUCAUUAAUUUGGUGUCGCGGGGAAUCAGGACUGUUACUUUGAAAAAAUUAGAGUGUUUAAAGCAGGCAUUAGCUUGAAUACAUUAGCAUGGAAUAAUGAAAUAGGACGUUUGAUCUUAUUUUGUUGGUUUCUAGGAUCGACGUAAUGAUUAAUAGGGAUAGUUGGGGGCAUUAGUAUUCAAUUGUCAGAGGUGAAAUUCUUGGAUUUAUUGAAGACUAACUACUGCGAAAGCAUUUGCCAAGGAUGUUUUCAUUAAUCAAGAACGAAAGUUAGGGGAUCGAAGACGAUCAGAUACCGUCGUAGUCUUAACCAUAAACUAUGCCGACUAGGGAUCGGAUGAUGUUAAUUUUUAAUGACUCAUUCGGCGCCUUAC
rnacentral:rRNA from 1 species